rnacentral:rRNA from 1 species
UACGUAGGGCGCAAGCGUUAUCCGGAAUUAUUGGGCGUAAAGAGCUCGUAGGCGGUUUGUCGCGUCUGCUGUGAAAGACCGGGGCUCAACUCCGGUUCUGCAGUGGGUACGGGCAGACUAGAGUGCAGUAGGGGAGACUGGAAUUCCUGGUGUAGCGGUGAAAUGCGUAGAUAUCCGGAGGAACACCGGUGGCGAAGGCGGCUUCCUGGACCGACACUGACGCUGAGGCGCGAAAGCGUGGGGAGCGAUCCGG